rnacentral:lncRNA from 1 species
CUCUUCAGCUGAGCGUUAACACUGUCUCCUUCAGCUUUACAGGGGUGUUACAAUAAAAUUAAGGACAGAAAGAGAGAAUCAUGAAGCCAUUUGAAGCUGCUGAGGAUUUACAAUAGCUGGGUUAUAUGAACUGGACUAGCACAGAAAUUUGUUAGAACACUGUAGAAAAUGCUCCAAGCUGACACAGGACUUGAAAAUUAUCAGGAACCUGCUGAAUUUGAAGGAACAGGAAAAAAGAAACUGCUGUCUCUUUACAUUUGCUUCUCCUGGAAAAGAGGUUGCACUCAGUGGCUAAAUCUGUCCUCUCAAGGGAGCACACAUUACUACUGCAGCAGCAGAGGUGGAGGCAGCCCAGACCCAGAAUGCUUGACAUAGAGGAGAAGCAGGACACUGAGUAUGUAAUUUAGAGAUGGCUUUGGAUUCUUCCAGCUUCCUUUAUUAUAUAAAGCAAUAU